rnacentral:rRNA from 1 species
GAGCGAACGCUGGCGGCAGGCCUAACACAUGCAAGUCGAACGAACUCGGGGGGAUUAGUGGCGGACGGGUGAGUAACACGUGGGAACGUGCCUUUUGGUUCGGAAUAACUCAGGGAAACGUGUGCUAAUACCGAAUGUGCCCUUCGGGGGAAAGAUUUAUCGCCAUUAGAGCGGCCCGCGUCCGAUUAGCUAGUUGGUGAGGUAACGGCUCACCAAGGCGACGAUCAGUAGCUGGUCUGAGAGGAUGACCAGCCACACUGGGACUGAGACACGGCCCAGACUCCUACGGGAGGCAGCAGUGGGGAAUCUUGCGCAAUGGGCGAAAGCCUGACGCAGCCAUGCCGCGUGAAUGAUGAAGGUCUUAGGAUUGUAAAAUUCUUUCACCGGGGACGAUAAUGACGGUACCCGCAGAAGAAGCCCCGGCUAACUACGU